UGGGGAAUAUUGCACAAUGGAGGAAACUCUGAUGCAGCAACGCCGCGUGAGUGAAGAAGUAUCUCGGUAUGUAAAGCUCUAUCAGCAGGGAAGAAAAUGACGGUACCUGACUAAGAAGCCCCGGCUAACUACGUG
rnacentral:rRNA from 1 species